rnacentral:rRNA from 1 species
UACGGGGGGGGGCAAGCGUUGUUCGGAAUUACUGGGCGUAAAGCGUGCGCAGGCGGUUUUGUAAGUCUGUUGUGAAAUCCCCGGGCUUAACCUGGGAAUUGCAUUUGUGACUGUACGGCUAGAGUGUGUCAGAGGGGGGUAGAAUUCCACGUGUAGCAGUGAAAUGCGUAGAGAUGUGGAGGAAUACCGAUGGCGAAGGCAGCCCCCCUGGGAUAACACUGACGCUCAUGCACGAAAAGCGUGGGGGAGCAAACAGGG